rnacentral:rRNA from 1 species
UACAGAGGGGGCAAGCGUUGUUCGGAAUUACUGGGCGUAAAGGGCGCGUAGGCGGCCUGCUAAGUCGAACGUGAAAUCCCCGAGCUCAACUCGGGAACUGCGUCCGAUACUGGCAGGCUUGAAUCCGGGAGAGGGAUGCGGAAUUCCAGGUGUAGCGGUGAAAUGCGUAGAUAUCGGAAGGAACAUCAGUGGCGAAAGCGGCUUCCUGGACCAGUACCGACGUUCAGGCACGAAAGCGUGGGGAGCAAACAGG